UACGUAGGGGGCGAACGUUGUCCGGAUUUAUUGGGCGUAAAGAGCUCGUAGGCGGCUCAGCAAGUCGGCCGUGAAAGUCCGGGGCUCAACCCCGGGAUGCCGGUCGAUACUGCUGUGGCUAGGGUCCGGUAGAGGAGAGUGGAAUUCCCGGUGUAGCGGUGAAAUGCGUAGAUAUUGGGAAGAACACCUGAGGCGAAGGCGGGUUGCUGGGCCGACACUGACGCUGAGGCGCGAAAGCCAGGGGAGCCGAACGGG
rnacentral:rRNA from 1 species